UACGUAGGGUGCAAGCGUUGUCCGGAAUUACUGGGCGUAAAGCGUGCGCAGGCGGUUCGUCGUGUCCGAUGUGAAAGCCCCGGGCUCAACCUGGGAAUGGCAUUGGAAACUGGCGGACUCGAGUGUGGCAGAGGGGGGUGGAAUUCCGGCGUGUAGCAGUGAAAUGCGUAGAGAUGCGGAGGAACACCGAUGGCGAAGGCAGCCCCCUGGGCUAACACUGACGCUCAGGCACGAAGCUAGGGUAGCAAACGGGG
rnacentral:rRNA from 1 species